rnacentral:rRNA from 1 species
CCCCAGACUCCUACGGGAGGCAGCAGUGGGGAAUAUUGGGCAAUGGGCGCAAGCCUGACCCAGCAACGCCGCGUGAAGGAUGAAGGUUUUCGGAUUGUAAACUUCUGUCGCGAGGGACGAAGAAUGACGGUACCUCGUAAGAAAGCCCCGGCUAACUACGUGCCAGCAGCCGCGGUAAUACGUAGGUGGCAAGCGUUGUCCGGAUUUACUGGGUGUAAAGGGCGUGCAGCCGGGAAGACAAGUCAGAUGUGAAAUCCCGCGGCUCAACCGCGGAACUGCAUUUGAAACUGUUUUUCUUGAGUACCGGAGAGGUCAUCGGAAUUCCUUGUGUAGCGGUGAAAUGCGUAGAUAUAAGGAAGAACACCAGUGGCGAAGGCGGAUGACUGGACGGCAACUGACGGUGAGGCGCGAAAGCGUGGGGAGCAAACAGGAUUAGAUACCCCCGUAC